CACCGCCUUCUAUUUAUUUUUUUUGGUCAGUGGUUGUUCCUAAGCAACUACUUAGCAGAUCCUUCCUGUCUGUCAGCGUUAGGGCCAAUAAGCAGGCAGUCACAGCUCAUCGCCCCACCCCAGCCCCUGUCCCGAGCUCAAGAGCUCCAGUACGCUUGCGCAGAAGUCUCAGGCACUCUGACCAGAGCGAGUGAGCUGGAGAAACCGAGUCACACCCGAGUUCGCUUCUGUCUUUAGCCGUCUGUAGCACAGCUCCAAGUUGCAGUCCCGGCCGGCCGCCCGCCCGCGGUGGUUCACAGUGUGUUGGGAAAGAAGGGAAGUGGAAAGUGGAAAGACUAUAUGGGACCUCGUCUAGCAAGCUGACACAGCAGCCUCCAGAGGGAGUGAAGUUUCCUGUCUACUGCUAGGUUUUAAAGACAAAAGUUACAGGAUUACAUCAGUAGGUACAGGUUGGUUUCUGAUUGGUUAACAUUUGGGGAACAAUCAAGAGAUUUUUCAAAGUCAUAUUUUUGGCGUGUAAUACCCGUGUACCCAUUUUUCUCAGAGGUUGGUAGUGGGAGGGAACAUUCUGUGGUUUCUAUGGCUUUCAGGUGGUCUAUUGUACCAAUAUUUUUCAGAAUUGAAUUUCCUGGAGACUACAAGGGAGUUUCUUUGGCAGUCAAACAAUCCCCAGGAUGCAAGUACCAAGGAGGCUAGGGGUGUUUGGAGUUCCUUUGUGUUCAGUUUUGGUUCUAAGCCUGUUGUAUACAACAUAGUCUCUAGGAGUGAAGGCUGGCAGAAGGGUUGAUCUGGAGUUUCGUCUCUUCAAUUAUGUAUAGUGUUCUGCCUGCAUGUAUCCCUACAGGCCAGAAGAGGGCACCAGAUCCUAUUACACAUGGUUGUGAGCCAUCAUGUGACUGCUGGGAAUUGAACUCAGGACCUCUGGAUGGGCAGCAUACUUUCAAGGCCUGCAGUCCAGACUCCCCCUGCCACAGACUUGUGUCCUUGGAACAUAUCCUGCCAAGACCAAGCUCCCUGCUUCAAAGCAAUAGCCUCUCCCACCUAACCACGCCCCUGCUCUGCCAAGCUUCCUGCUUCAACCACUGUAAGAAUCCUUGUGAGAAAAUAAAAAAUUGCAGCUUGAUCAGAGAGCCUA